rnacentral:rRNA from 1 species
AUUGAACGCUGGCGGCAGGCCUAACACAUGCAAGUCGAGCGGAGCGGCGGACGGGUGAGUAAUGCCUAGGUCUCUGCCUGGUCGUGGGGGAUAACGUCCGGAAACGGGCGCUAAUACCGCAUCCUCUCGGAUGCGCCUAGGUCGGAUUAGCUAGUUGGUGGGGUAAAGGCCUCCCAUGGCGACGAUCCGUAACUGGUCUGAGAGGAUGGUCAGUCACACUGGAACUGAGACACGGGCCAGACUCCUACGGGAGGCAGCAGUGGGGAAUAUUGGACAAUGGGCGAAAGCCUGAUCCAGCCAUGCCGCGUGUGUGAAGAAGGUCUUCGGAUUGUAAAGCACUUUAAGUUGGGAAGCGUUACCAACAGAAUAAGCACCGGCUAACUUCGUGCCAGCAGCCGCGGUAAUUC